AUUGAACGCUGGCGGCAUGCUUUACACAUGCAAGUCGAACGGUAACAGGCCGCAAGGUGCUGACGAGUGGCGAACGGGUGAGUAAUGCAUCGGAACGUGCCCAGUCGUUGGGGAUAACUACUCGAAAGAGUAGCUAAUACCGCAUACGAUCUAUGGAUGAAAGCGGGGGACCGUAAUGCCUCGCGCGAUUGGAGCGGUCGAUUUCAGAUUAGGUAGUUGGUGGGGUAAAGGCUCACCAAGCCAACGAUCUGUAGCUGGUCUGAGAGGACGACCAGCCACACUGGGACUGAGACACGGCCCAGACUCCUACGGGAGGCAGCAGUGGGGAAUUUUGGACAAUGGGCGCAAGCCUGAUCCAGCAAUGCCGCGUGCAGGAAGAAGGCCUUCGGGUUGUAAACUGCUUUUGUACGGAACGAAACGGCUCUGGUUAAUACCCGGGGCUAAUGACGGUACCGUAAGAAUAAGCACCGGCUAACUACGUG
rnacentral:rRNA from 1 species